rnacentral:rRNA from 1 species
GAUGCUAACUCGUCGUGUGGAUCGUAGAUCUGCGCGGCCUAGGGUAACCGAUAAGUUAUCCACCUGGGGAAUACGUUCGCAAGAAUGAAAUUCGAAGGAAUUGACGGGGGUCCGCACAAGCGUUGGAGCAUGUGGUUUAAUUCGAUGAUACGCGAGGGACCUUACCUGGGCUCGAAUGGUUUAGUGCAACUGUGAGAAAUCACGGGUUCCUUCGGGACGCUAAUCAAGGUGCUGCAUGGUUGUCGUCAGCUCGUGCCGUGAGGUGUUGGGUUAAGUCCCGCGACGAGCGCAACCCCUGGGUUUAGUUACCAGCACGUAGUGNUGGGGACUCUAGACCGACUGCCGGCGUAAGCCGCGAGGAAGGUGGGGAUGACGUCAAAUCAUCAUGGCCUUUAUGUCCAGGGCUACACACGUGCUACAAUGGUCAGUACAGAGGGUAGCGAAGCCGCGAGGUGGAGCCAAUCUUUAAAAGCUGAUCGUAGUUCGGAUUGGAGUCUGCAACUCGACUCCAUGAAGUUGGAAUCGCUAGUAAUCGCGCAUCAGCCAUGGCGCGGUGAUACGUUCCCGGACCUUGUACACACCGCCCGUCAAGCCAUGGGAGCUGAGGGUACCUGAAGAUGGUGACUUUANCGGGGAGCUAUCUAAGGGUAAAAUUAGUAACUGGGGCUAAGUCGU